UGCUAAACAUUAUAAGGAAAAAGUUAAAGCACUAACCAAAGAGAAACAAAGUGAAAUGAGACUAAAGUGGCGCCAAAAAUAUGCUUCCAAAAAGGAAUCACAAAGCAAGGAGCAAGAACAAGAUAUCGAAGGUGCUGUAGAAGAAGAAAGAAGUGCUGUAGCUGAAACAGAUAAGGAACCAGGCGUCGACACUAUUCCGACAGGACGAGAGGACCAUUCAAACUGUUUAGAAUCGAGUCAAAGAAUAAUUAAAUCUCAAAUGAA